CACUUGACAGUUUUAUGAGAGGGAAAUUCUUGGUUGACAUUCAUUUUCCGCUGAACCUGAAUCCCCUGCCUUUCUCAGAACUCCAGCCUGGGAAUGGAGGUCAGAACGUGUGCAUCUCUAGUGUCUCUUAAUCUGCUCUCCUCUUAUCUCCCUGGGAUGCAUAGAACAGGCUUUCUUUUUCUUCUAGAACAUUUGCCUUCAACUAGCCUCAUGAAACCUAGCUGGAAGAACAAAAUGGUUGUCGGGAUUGGGAGGGGAGUACUUCCUGGCAGGAAAAAUGAAGAUCAUGUCAGCUUACCCCUUUCAGAAGAUGGUCUUGGAUUAAGGACAGCUUUGGGCCUGCAGAACAGAGAAUUUUACUCAUCGUGGGUAGUUGUGAAUCAGAGUGUGCAGGAGUCAAUCUGGAUUGGCAAGGACCAUAGCUGGCCUCAUUUUAAGCUGAGGACACAGAAUGCUUCUGUCCUUGAAUGUGCUUUAGAAGCAAAACACUCUGGAGCACAGGGAACAUUAAGUACUCCUUUGUCAGAUGAUGAAAAAAAAAAAAACAA
rnacentral:lncRNA from 1 species